GCUAGUGUGGCAGAGCCUGGUAAUUGCAAAAGACCUAAGCCCUUUUAAUCAGAGGUUCAACCCCUCUCGCUAGCC
rnacentral:tRNA from 1 species